rnacentral:misc_RNA from 1 species
CAGUGACGGUAGGCGGGUGCGGGGGAGGAGGGAUCACCGGACUGAGUCACAGCGCCGUGCCCGGAGGACGAGCCAAACGAUGGUAGAGCAGCGAACCGGCAAAGAGAUCGCAAAAAAAAAAACGAAGUACAUGCAAAGCCCAGGGAAAGCACACAUGAGCCCCACAUCGAGAUCUACACACAGACACACACACCAGACAGCACACAUACGGAAACCGCAGCGCCAGUGUUGAACGAUGGGGGAGGGGAGAGUCCCCGGCGUGUCUCUCGUAGGCUCUGUGCCCAAGUGAAGCUCUUUUUCUCUUGCACUAGUGUCUGUUAUUGAGUGUGGGCCGUCCUCUCGGGACCUCCUUGCUCCUUCCCCUGGCGCGGCUGCAGUGCCAGACGAGCAUGCGCAUGCGCACAUGCUUUCUCUUCCGCUCCGUUCCCUCGCUCACAAGACGGGCGGCACACGCGUUCGCAUGCGUGUAUGGAAGCGUAUGGGCAGCAGACCUCCUUUGAACUCCAGGUGUCGAGAAAGGUCUCUCGUUCGUGUCUAAGGUUUGUGCAUCUGAUCUCCCCCGCCUUCUUCCACCUUCCGCAUAUCCGCUCUCCGCCUCCAACUUUUUCUUGCUUGAGUUUUUCGCGACCACCAUCAUCCCCACUGUUAG